rnacentral:lncRNA from 1 species
GCUUCCAUCAAAAACCGAAACUUUAUGGUCCACACUGUGUAGAGCAUGGCUAACAUUGAGAUUAGCAAGUAUCUGUUUUUUGAUCAGAAGGGAGGAGAAGCUAAAGAUUUAAAAACAGCAGUGAAGCUUAGCAGCUAUCGAGACCCAGUCAGAGAUGAGGCUGAGAUGCGGGGUAUUAAGCAAACUUUACCGAUGCCCCCAAGGAGGGAAUUGGGAAACACAGCAAUCGAGCCAAGGAUUAAAAUUAGUACGACAAAUUCUACAAUAUUUAGGCAAUUUACGCCUUGUGAACUUGGAGAAACUUUAAAUUUUCAUCUUGGAUGGAAAAGAGACGUAGCCAAAGGGCCACUGCACUUCACUGAAAGAAUGAAAAUAAACCUUCUGAUGUGCAGCUUCAA